rnacentral:rRNA from 1 species
GAUGAACGCUGACAGAAUGCUUAACACAAGCAAGUCGACUUGAACUUCGGUAUGGGUGGCGGACGGGUGAGUAACGCGUAAAGAACUUGCCUCACAGAUAGGGACAACACUUGGAAACGAAUGCUAAUACCGGAUAUUAUGAGUAUAUGGCAUAGUAUAAUUAUGAAAGCUAUAUGCGCUGUGAGAGAGCUUUGCGUCCCAUUAGCUAGUUGGAGAGGUAACGGCUCACCAAGGCGAGGAUGGGUAGCCGGCCUGGGAGGGUGAUCGGCCACAAGGGGACUGAGACACGGCCCUUACUCCUUCGGGAGGCAGCAGUGGGGAAUAUUGGACAAUGGACCAAGAGUCUGAUCCAGCAAUUCUGUGUGCACGAUGAAGUUUUUCGGAAUGUAAAGUGCUUUCAGUUGGGAAGAAAAUAAUGACGGUACCAACAGAAUAAGUGACGGCUAAAUUCGUG